rnacentral:rRNA from 1 species
UGGGGAAUCUUCCGCAAUGGACGAAAGUCUGACGGAGCAACGCCGCGUGAGUGAAGAAGGCCUUCGGGUUGUAAAGCUCUGUUAUUGGGGACGAAUGUGUUCUAGGUAAAUAAUCUAGAGCAAUGACGGUACCUAAGGAGGAAGCCACGGCUAACUACGUGCCAGCAGCCGCGGUAAUACGUAGGUGGCAAGCGUUGUCCGGAAUUAUUGGGCGUAAAGAGCGCGUAGGCGGGAAAGUAAGUCAGUCUUAAAAGUGCGGGGCUCAACCCCGUGAGGGGAUUGAAACUACUAUUCUUGAGUACCGGAGAGGACAGUGGAAUUCCCAGUGUAGCGGUGAAAUGCGUAGAUAUUGGGAGGAACACCAGUGGCGAAGGCGACUUUCUGGACGGAAACUGACGCUGAGGCGCGAAAGCCAGGGGAGUGAACG